rnacentral:rRNA from 1 species
UACGGAGGGAGCUAGCGUUAUUCGGAAUUACUGGGCGUAAAGCGCACGUAGGCGGAUAUUUAAGUCAGAGGUGAAAUCCCGGAGCUCAACUUCGGAACUGCCUUUGAUACUGGGUAUCUUGAGUAUGGAAGAGGUAAGUGGAAUUGCGAGUGUAGAGGUGAAAUUCGUAGAUAUUCGCAGGAACACCAGUGGCGAAGGCGGCUUACUGGUCCAUUACUGACGCUGAGGUGCGAAAGCGUGGGGAGCAAACAGG